rnacentral:tRNA from 1 species
GGUGUGAUACUUUAAGUAAAAGGUUAGAUUUGCAUUCUUAAAUUGGGUAGAGUUUUGCUCUCACGCCG